rnacentral:tRNA from 1 species
GCGCGGGUGCUGUAACCGGAAGCCAGGCUGGCUUGAGGUGCCAGUGCCGCAAGGCGUGGAGGUUCGAGUCCUCUCCCGCGCACCG